GAUAAAAACAGAGAGAGAGGGGGAGAGUGAGGGAUGGAGAGAGAGAGGAAGAGAUAAAAAUAGAGAGGGGGAGAGAGAGGAGGUGUGUUAUGUGCUCAGACAAUGUUAUUUCUGCAAUACCGAUGUUUAUGCAGUAUCAUUGUUUACACUCAUACUACCCCUGGAAUUCAGAAAACUGGAAUCACCUGCCUGAGAGUGAUUUACAGUAUACUGUAGCUAACACAGCUACAGCCUCCUGUAUUCUAGAGUACCCAGGUCCAUUCAGCUACAGCCUCCUGUAUUCUACAGUACCCACGUCCAUUCAGCUACAGCCUCCUGUAUUCUAGAGUACCCACGUCCAUUCAGCUACAGCCUCCUGUAUUCUACAGUACCCACGUCCAUUCAGCUACAGCCUCCUGUAUUCUAGAGUACCCACGUCCAUUCAGCUACAGCCUCCUGUAUUCUAGAGUACCCAUGUCCAUUCAGCUACAGCCUCCUGUAUUCUACAGUACCCACGUCCAUUCAGCUACAGCCUCCUGUAUUCUACAGUACCCACGUCCAUUCUGCUACAGCCUCCUGUAUUCUACAGUACCCAUGUCCAUUCAGCUACAGCCUCCUGUAUUCUACAGUACCCACGUCCAUUCAGCUACAGCCUCCUGUAUUCUAGAAUACCCAGGUCCAUUCAGCUACAGCCUCCUGUAUUCUAGAGUACCCACGUCCAUUCAGCUACAGCCUCCUGUAUUCUACAGUACCCACGUCCAUUCUGCUACAGCCUCCUGUAUUCUACAGUACCCACGUCCAUUCUGCUACAGCCUCCUGUAUUCUACAGUACCCACGUCCAUUCUGCUACAGCCUCCUGUAUUCUACAGUACCCACGUCCAUUCUGCUACAGCCUCCUGUAUUCUACAGUACCCACGUCCAUUCAGCUACAGCCUCCUGUAUUCUACAGUACCCACGUCCAUUCUGCUACAGCCUCCUGUAUUCUACAGUACCCACGUCCAUUCUGCUACAGCCUCCUGUAUUCUACAGUACCCACGUCCAUUCAGCUACAGCCUCCUGUAUUCUAGAGUACCCAGGUCCAUUCAGCUACAGCCUCCUGUAUUCUAGAGUACCCAGGUCCAUUCAGCUACAGCCUCCUGUAUUCUAGAGUACCCAGGUCCAUUCAGCUACAGCCUCCUGUAUUCUACAGUACCCACGUCCAUUCAGCUACAGCCUCCUGUAUUCUAGAGUACCCAGGUCCAUUCAGCUACAGCCUCCUGUAUUCUACAGUACCCAUGUCCAUUCAGCUACAGCCUCCUGUAUUCUAGAGUACCCACGUCCAUUCAACUACAGCCUCCUGUAUUCUACAGUACCCAGGUCCAUUCAACUACAGCCUCCUGUAUUCUAGAGUACCCAGGUCCAUUCAGCUACAGCCUCCUGUAUUCUACAGUACCCAGGUCCAUUCAGCUACAGCCUCCUGUAUUCUACAGUACCCACGUCCAUUCAGCUACAGCCUCCUGUAUUCUAGAGUACCCAUGUCCAUUCAGCUACAGCCUCCUGUAUUCUAGAGUACCCACGUCCAUUCAGCUACAGCCUCCUGUAUUCUAGAGUACCCACGUCCAUUCAGCUACAGCCUCCUGUGUUCUAGAGUACCUACGUCCAUUCAGCUACAGCCUCCUGUAUUCUAGAGUACCCAGGUCCAUUCUGCUACAGCCUCCUGUAUUCUACAGUACCCAGGUCCAUUCAACUACAGCCUCCUGUAUUCUAGAGUACCCACGUCCAUUCAGCUACAGCCUCCUGUAUUCUACAGUACCCACGUCCAUUCAGCUACAGCCUCCUGUAUUCUACAGUACCCACGUCCAUUCAGCUACAGCCUCCUGUAUUCUACAGUACCCACGUCCAUUCAGCUACAGCCUCCUGUAUUCUACAGUACCCACGUCCAUUCAGCUACAGCCUCCUGUAUUCUAGAGUACCCAGGUCCAUUCAGCUACAGCCUCCUGUAUUCUACAGUACCCACGUCCAUUCAGCUACAGCCUCCUGUAUUCUACAGUACCCACGUCCAUUCAGCUACAGCCUCCUGUAUUCUACAGUACCCACGUCCAUUCAGCUACAGCCUCCUGUAUUCUAGAGUACCCACGUCCAUUCAGCUACAGCCUCCUGUAUUCUAGAGUACCCAGGUCCAUUCAGCUACAGCCUCCUGUAUUCUACAGUACCCACGUCCAUUCAGCUACAGCCUCCUGUAUUCUAGAGUACCCAGGUCCAUUCAGCUACAGCCUCCUGUAUUCUAGAGUACCCAGGUCCAUUCAACUACAGCCUCCUGUAUUCUAGAGUACCCAUGUCCAUUCUGCUACAGCCUCCUGUAUUCUACAGUACCCACGUCCAUUCAGCUACAGCCUCCUGUAUUCUAGAGUACCCAGGUCCAUUCUGCUACAGCCUCCUGUAUUCUAGAGUACCCACGUCCAUUCAGCUACAGCCUCCUGUAUUCUAGAGUACCCACGUCCAUUCAGCUACAGCCUCCUGUAUUCUACAGUACCCACGUCCAUUCAGCUACAGCCUCCUGUAUUCUACAGUACCCAGGUCCAUUCAGCUACAGCCUCCUGUAUUCUAGAGUACCCAGGUCCAUUCUGGGUGUUAUAUGGCCACAGCAGAAAUGAUAUGGUCUAUAUCAGAUUUGUCAAACUCAUUCCACUGAGGGUCGAGUGUCUGUGGGUUUUUGUUUUUGUUCCAUUCAAUUAAAACCUAGACAACCAGGUGAAGGGAGAUCCUUACUAAUUAGUGACCUUAAUUCCUCCAGCAAGGACAAGGGUGGAGCGAAAACCUGCAGACACUCUGCCCUCCGUGGAAUGAGUUUGACACGUGGUCUGUAUGCUACUGUGUGAAUACUGUAAUGUGGCUUUGUUUGAAUUCCGCCCCGUUUCUCCAUCUCUCAAAGGACGGCAGCCUUUUUAACACUGUAUGAAUACUGGCAGAGCCGUAGCCUAGCCUAUGUAUGGCUUAUGAACCUCUCUCUAUAACACAGGCAUAGGCCUGUAAUAUAUUCAGACGCUUCAUUUCAUUUAAUACGCAUGUUGACUUAAAAAAUAUAUAUAUAUAUUUUUUCCAGAAAAGUUUUUUUUGUUUUGUUACCUUUUCCACCUGCGGUAAAUGUCGAUGCACACAUACAUAUCCAUACACACUUGUCCAUCCAUACGUACACAGUCCAGUUAACAUCCAAGGGCCUUUCUGUGUUGUGUAUGGAGGGAAUCCUAGAUCCUUUCUGUCUCCUUCCCCGAUGGUGAGCUGUGCUGUUUGGAGAGAGGGCUCCACCUAGAGGCCAAGUGGAGGAAUGACCGGAGUCAGAGACAAGAGGAUACAAACUGUACUCUCACCAAAGUGUCUAGGGUUGCAAAAUUCCCAGUAGCUCUCAAUGAUACUAUGUUUUGGGAGAGACAGGAAUAAUGCAGACAGGAUUAGAUUAGCCCACUUUACCCUCCUCUGUUUUAUGUCUUUGGAUGUGCCUAACUUAGAGACCCAAACUUCCUGUUUAACAUUAACAUGUAAAUGUGAUGCUAGGAGGCCGCUUUCCGGACACAGAUGAAGCCCACUUGGUCCAAUAAGCCUUCUCCAUUGAAAGUGUUUCGUAGUCCAAGACUAGGCUUAAUCUGUGUUGGGGAAACUGGUCCUAUGAUAACCAGGUAUGUGUGUGUGUUUGCCCGUUCAAAGCCUGUCGUGUCUUCACAGACUGACUGCCUCUUCUUCAACUGCUGAUCAGCUGUCUGUUUUCAGACCACAUCACUAGAUCUGUUGUCCAUUAAAGGUACAUCCCUCCCUCAUGUACAUACCUAGUGUUGACCUGGUACACAGCCUCUUCAGCUGUGGGCUGCCUAUAACAGUCAAACAUACACACAGACACACAGGCACACACACACACACACAUCCACACACACACACACACACACCUCCAUGACGUGACAAUGUUUGUGUUGUUGUUUAUCUCCUGCCUCUGAUGUUUUAUAGUGUUGUAGCCUAAUGUUCUGUAAGCUGCAUCCUGAUAGACCUUGUUUUACACAUUAAUAAACACCGUUGAUUUACCAUCAAAA